rnacentral:rRNA from 1 species
UACGUAGGGGGCGAGCGUUGUCCGGAUUCAUUGGGCGUAAAGCGCGCGUAGGCGGUUACGCAAGUCGGUUGUGAAAAUCCGGGGCUCAACCCCGGACCUGCAUCCGAUACUGCGUGACUUGAGUUCGGUAGGGGAGUGGGGAAUUCCUAGUGUAGCGGUGAAAUGCGCAGAUAUUAGGAGGAACACCGGUGGCGAAGGCGCCACUCUGGGCCGAAACUGACGCUGAGGAGCGAAAGCAUGGGUAGCAAACAGG